rnacentral:miRNA from 1 species
UCCGAGUAAGUAAACAGUAAUGGCUGCAAUAAACAUUCAUUGCUGUCGGUGGGUUUUACAUGGAAACAACUCACUGAUCAAUGAAUGCAAACUGCGGUUCAACAACC